CCUACGGGAGGCAGCAGUAGGGAAUCUUCCACAAUGGGCGAAAGCCUGAUGGAGCAACGCCGCGUGGGUGAAGAAGGUCUUCGGAUCGUAAAACCCUGUUGUUAGAGAAGAAAGUGCGUGAGAGUAACUGUUCACGUUUCGACGGUAUCUAACCAGAAAGCCACGGCUAACUACGUGCCAGCAGCCGCGGUAAUACGUAGGUGGCAAGCGUUAUCCGGAUUUAUUGGGCGUAAAGGGAACGCAGGCGGUCUUUUAAGUCUGAUGUGAAAGCCUUCGGCUUAACCGGAGUAGUGCAUUGGAAACUGGGAGACGUGAGUGCAGAAGAGGAGAGUGGAACUCCAUGUGUAGCGGUGAAAUGCGUAGAUAUAUGGAAGAACACCAGUGGCGAAAGCGGCUCUCUGGUCUGUAACUGACGCUGAGGUUCGAAAGCGUGGGUAGCAAACAGGAUUAGAUACCCCUGUGUC
rnacentral:rRNA from 1 species